UCUCCCAUCAAUCCGUUGCCUUUGACAUAUAUUGGAGGUGGUGCUUGACGGGAGAGAUUUGAUCAAGCGGAUCAUUGAUCUCAGCCUCACUUCCAGAUGAAGUGGGAUCAUGAUUGGGAGUCCGAGGUGGAGAUGGGAAUGGCACAUGCCACGGUUGGUCCCCCGGGUAACUGACAUGCUCAAUUGGAGGGCGUACAUCCGACAUCUUUAAGUAUUGCUGGGGACAAUUCACAGCUGUUGCCUGCAACAAAACAAAUAAAGCUACAUUCAGUCUCCAGUUGUAAACGACAACAUGGUUAGCUUUAGUGGAGAAUAUUUGUGUUGCACUAAGACUAAUUACCUUUCCCGUUAAGAAGGUGCCUCUGUUGCAGUUCUAUAUAGGAAGGUUCAGUUAUAUGUACGAACUACUAUGAAGUAUAUUGCGUGUUUAGUUGGUGCAUUCAAUUGAUGAGAUUGCAAACUACACCAUUAACUCCUUGGCUGCAAUUUAUAGUAGUACAACAUUACAUUAAC
rnacentral:lncRNA from 1 species